AAAAAAGGGGUUGUCGUGUCUAAAUAUUUAACAGGCUAACCUUCGAACUGUCGCAUUAACUUACAAUUACUAGAUGAUAAACAAGCAGCCAGUACAGCUGCUUUUUUUUUUUUGUUAAAUCUGUGGAAUGAAAAGCAUCAAAAGGCUCAAACAUAGAUUUUCUUUGGCCUUCACCUAUUCUAAGAUAACAAGCCUUCUACAUAAUUGUCCAAUUACCGCAAAUUCUUCUCGAACAUGUUAGGUAGUAAGUAGCAGGCUUAACAUCGCCCCUCCCCGUUUGAUGCUUGUGGACAUUUCUUUGAAUGAUCACUGUCUUCAUCUCAAUGCUAGGUUUCUGAGCUUCUCAGUUCAUCCAGUUUCAGUCUGCAUCUGUAGUUUCAUCUUGCACCUGAGUUGCCUGGUUCUCUGUCAUGUUUUCCUGCAAAACCUGCAAUAACUCAGUCAUCUUGGCAGUUCUAUAAUUAACCAAAGGUCUUGACACGACUGCAGGGUGAUUAUGCAGGGCAGGCUGCACUGAUUGCAAGGGCUCAACAGAAAGCGGCUGAUCUGUGUCAUUGAUAUCAUCCUC
rnacentral:misc_RNA from 1 species